GUGAGGAAUUUUCCGCAAUGGGCGAAAGCCUGACGGAGCAAUGCCGCGUGGAGGAUGAAGGCCCGUGGGUCGUAAACUCCUUUUCUCAGAGAAAAAGUUCUGACGGUAUCUGAGGAAUAAGCAUCGGCUAACUCUGUGCCAGCAGCCGCGGUAAUACAGAGGAUGCAAGCGUUAUCCGGAAUGAUUGGGCGUAAAGCGUUUGUAGGUGGUUUAUUAAGUCUUCUGUCAAAGCUCAGGGCUUAACCCUGUUUAGGCAGUAGAAACUAAUAGGCUAGAGUACGGUAGGGGCAGAGGGAAUUCCCGGUGUAGCGGUGAAAUGCGCAGAUAUCGGGAAGAACACCAAUGGCGAAAGCACUCUGCUGGGCCGAAACUGACACUGAGAGACGAAAGCUAGGGGAGCGAAUGGGAUUAGAUACCCCAGUAGUCCUAGCCGUAAACGAUGGAUACUUAAUGGUGGAAGGCGAUAUUCCCCUCGGGGAGUGUUAAAUUUCACCAUUGUAGCUAACGCGAUAAGUAUCCCGCCUGGGGAGUAUGCUCGCAAGAG
rnacentral:rRNA from 1 species